CUAAGUUUUCCACAUUUAGGGACCCAGAAUUACAGAUUCAGUUACAUUUGAACCAAGGAGAUCAAGCCAGAAAACCUGGAAGGAUGAAAUCCACCCACUAUAUAUAUAUAUAUAUAUAUAUAUAUAUAUAUAUACAGAUAAAAUGUUCAUUUUGACAAGUUUGGGAAAAGGUUUCAUUAGUAAAUCCACUUUGAGAAGAUGAUCAAUGUUUGGCCAUUGUACCAACAUGGGACUCCAUAGUUUAUGCUGUUGUGUUGAGCAAGUAACCCAUUCAAUCAGCUGAAGACAGGAAGGUUAGCUGUAUGAACUGGCCAGAUGUUGUGAGCUCAGUUCCUAAAUCUUGAAGACACACCUGCCGAAACAAAAUUUUGUCUUGUAAAUUUUUUGUAGCUUGCUAACCUAGCCUAGCGUAGUUAACAUGAUGUCUUGUGUGCAAUAUGUUCAAAUCAAGCUUUGUUAUUGUAAUGAAAACUUUAAUUUUAGAAAGCAUAGGUUAGCUGUUAACAUUUUAACCUUUUGGUGGCGAGCUACCAAAAGUGUUUUUAUGUCACCAACAGUCAGCUAACAGCCAGGCAUGAGUAGUGCAGAUUUUUUUUUUUUUUUUACUAAAAAAACAACAAGCAAUGUAAAAAGUUAAACUAUACUUUAAUAUAUAUUCAGAUUCUUUUUCAUAAAUGCACACUUGUGGUAACAAUCUUAAGGCCAACAGCAGGCAGUGAUAAUUGACAUGGGUACAAAGCAUAAACAACAUUCACACAAAAACAGAGGAGGCUCAGUACAAUUUAUGAAAAAAGGUCUGGAACAAGUAGAUUGUCAUCUCAGUUGUCAUAUAGAAAGAAAAAAAUAAUGCAGUUUUGGUUAAUUAUUCUAUUAUAAAACAAAAGACAGUGGUCAGCAGCCAACAUAUUGUUGUGUAUUACAGAACUUUGUAAUAGGGUAUCAUGAUUAAAUAUUUUUCCAUUAGACAAAAAUAAAUUCUGACUGUGCCAUAAUUUACUUAAACUAAAACGGUCCACGAUGGGAAAACUGUAGAGAAAAUCUGCAGACAAGACAAAGGCUGAAAACAGCCGAGGUUUAUGAGAGUUCCAGCUGAGUCCCACAUACAAUACAGUGGUCCGGCCCUGUUGCAUGUAUGUGAGUGGGUAGGCGGCGUAUUAAUGCGAGUGGGUUGAGCACAUUUUUCUGUCCGCCACUCUAUUGCCUACUGCUUGUAAAGCAUUUUGACUGAAACACACUCGCAUAUUCACCCAUAAACAAACACUGGCAGGCUCAAAGGAUAAGCAAAUGUGAAAGCAAAAAACAGAAUAAAACUU